CGGCCAAGCGUUCCCGUUAAACUUUGCCGGGCAUCAGAUGCCUUUAUUUCCAGACAGCGUGCUCAAAGCCGUGCAGAAGUGUUCGGGUGAAGACAAACAGAAGCAGCUCCAGCAACUGCUGGAACCUUUCUCACCGAUGUUCACAGAAAGACCUGGGAAAACCGAUCUCCUACAGCACCGCAUUGAAACCAAGGAUGCACCUCCACGGAGGUGCAAUCUGAGACCCAUAAGUGCUCACAAGCGCGAACUUCUUGAUGCGGCGCUAUUGGAAAUGAUCGACACAGGCGCAGUACGUCAGUCAAAAAGCCCGUGGGCUUCCCCGGUGGUCCUUGCUCCAAAGAAGGAUGGCACAGCAAGGCUUUGUGUUGAUUACAGCCGCCUAAAUCUGAGUGAGGGAGUGCGAUUUUCGUGCCGGACCGUACCCACAUCCGCAGCAGUUUUCCAAUGUGAACAGCCUCUAGUCGAUGGAAGGGAAGUCGGCAAAACGGAUCCGUAACCUUGGGAUAAGGAUUCGCUCUGACGACUGAGCAGGUCGGGCUGGGGACCUGAAGCAGGAACGGCACUGCACCGGGACUGGGCGGGGCUCGCCGUUCACGCGGCGCGGCCAAGCCCGGACCAGCGUCGGGACCUUCCUGUGGAAAGCCACAGCUGCGCGGCGUCUGAGGGUGUGCUAUGCUUCGGCCGGCACAAAACAGUCAACUCAGAACUGGCACGGACCGGGGGAAUCCGACUGUCUAAUUAAAACAAAGCUUUGCGAUGGCCGCUGGUUGGUGUUGACGCAAUGUGAUUUCUGCCCAGUGCUCUUAAUGUCAACCUGAAGAGAUUCAUCAAAGCGCGGGUAAACGGCGGGAGUAACUAUGACUCUCGGGAUGGGGGUAUCUUGUGUGAUUGGCUGAGUUUUGCUCAGACUAAUAGUUGCUGGGGGGUCGGUGCGCGAUUCUAAAAUCCAGGCAGGAAACUUUUCAGGAGUCCCGGGAAACACUCUGACCCCUCACGGUUCGUGCGCCUCCCCGCGGCGCCCGCUCGAAACGUGUCUGCCUGGAACCGGCUAAGUCAUGAACCGAAUCGAUCGUAAUGGAUCGCCAGUUGGUGAAAGCGUAAGCACUAGCUGUGUCAACCCUGCUACCGCUGUGGCGGGGGGUCUGACUGUACAAUGCCGCGGAG
rnacentral:ncRNA from 1 species